rnacentral:rRNA from 1 species
GACGAACGCUGGCGGCGUGCCUAAUACAUGCAAGUAGAACGCUGAAGGAGGAGCUUGCUCUUCUGGAUGAGUUGCGAACGGGUGAGUAACGCGUAGGUAACCUGCCUGGUAGCGGGGGAUAACUAUUGGAAACGAUAGCUAAUACCGCAUAACAGUAGAUGUUGCAUGACAUUUGCUUAAAAGGUGCAAUUGCAUCACUACCAGAUGGACCUGCGUUGUAUUAGCUAGUUGGUGGGGUAACGGCUCACCAAGGCGACGAUACAUAGCCGACCUGAGAGGGUGAUCGGCCACACUGGGACUGAGACACGGCCCAGACUCCUACGGGAGGCAGCAGUAGGGAAUCUUCGGCAAUGGACGGAAGUCUGACCGAGCAACGCCGCGUGAGUGAAGAAGGUUUUCGGAUCGUAGAGCUCUGUUGUAAGAGAAGAACGAGUGUGAGAGUGGAAAGUUCACACUGUGACGGUAUCUUACCAGAAAGGGACGGCUAACUACGUG